rnacentral:tRNA from 1 species
GCGGGCGUGGCGGAACUGGUAUACGCACACGACUUAAAAUCGUGAGCCGAGAGGCAUACGGGUUCGAGUCCCGUCGCCCGCACCA